rnacentral:rRNA from 1 species
UGCCAGCCGCCGCGGUAAUACGUAUGUCGCAAGCGUUAUUCGGAAUCACUGGGCGUAAAGAGUUCGUAGGCGGACUAUCAAGUCAGAAGUGAAAUUUUGGGGCUUAACCCCGAAACUGCUUUUGAAACUGUUAGUCUUGAGUAUGUGAGAGGAAGAUGGAAUUCCUGGUGUAGCGGUGGAAUGCGUAGAUAUCAGGAAGAACACCGGUGGCGAAGGCGGUCUUCUGGCACAAUACUGACGCUGAGGAACGAAAGUGUGGGGAGCGAACAGGAUUAGAUA